GGGCCCGUAGCUCAAUGGUAGAGCGGCUCCCUUUUAAGGAGAAGGUUGCGCGUUCGAUUCGCGCCGGGCUCA
rnacentral:tRNA from 1 species